UUCUUUUUCUUCUUAUGUUUUUCUUAAAUUUUUAUAUUUUCUGUAAGGAAAAUUAUUUUAUUCUUUAGUUACCUUUUGUAUAAGGGAAGAUAGAUUAUUUUUGUUAAAGUUUUCUAGAAUUAAGAAGAUCUUGAAAAAUUUUUUUACAAAAAAAUUAAUUUUAAAAUUUUUUAAGGAGUAAUACGCUUUUCGUUUCUUACGAUAACUAAUUUAUUUUUAUGGAAAGGGUAAGCCUUUUUAAAAAUAAUUUUCUUAUUUUAUUUACUUCCUUAAUAGUAGGAUUUUGUUGUAAUAACUUAUUUUAUUUAAACUUUUGUCUUUGUUUUAUUAAAUUGUUUUAAAUUAUUUUAUUAGUAGAAUUAUUUUUUUUCUUAUUUUAUUUAUUAUUUAUUAUCUUUUUUAACAUGUUAAAAAAUAUUGAUUUGUUUCUAAAUUGAUUAUUAAAAUCUUAGCUAUAAUAUUUAUAGUUUCUUCUGCUCUAUGAAGAUUUUUAAUGGCUGUGGUUUUCACACUAAGGUAGCGAAAUCAUUAGUUGUUUAAUUGGCAACUUGUAUGAAUGAAGAAAUUAGAAAUGUAUUAGUCUCUUAUUUAAAUUUAUAAUACUGUUGAAAAUAACAGUAAUUUUUUUUAGACUAAAAGACCCUAAAAUUUUCAUAACUUACAAUAAAGUUAUUUAGUUGGGGCAACUAAAUUAUUUUUAUAAAAAUAAAUUUAAGAUUUUUUGAACUUUUUAUAAAGAAAAUUUGUAAAAUACUUUAGGGAUAACAGUUUUAUUAUUCUUAAAAGUUCUUAUUAAUAGAAUAGUUUGGAACCUCGAUGUUGGAUUAGUAAAACUUUUCGGAGCAGAAAUCGAAAUAGUUAGACUGUUCGUCUAUUAAAUUACUACAUGAUCUGAGUUAAAGUCGGCGUAAGCCAGACUGGAUUUUAUCUAAAAAUCUUUAUUCAAGUAAAAUAGUACGAAAGGAUUUUUUUCUUCAUUUUAAAUGAGU
rnacentral:rRNA from 1 species